AGCGAACGCUGGCGGCAGGCCUAACACAUGCAAGUCGAACGAACUCUUCGGAGUUAGUGGCGGACGGGUGAGUAACACGUGGGAACGUGCCUUUUGGUUCGGAAUAACUCAGGGAAACUUGUGCUAAUACCGAAUGUGCCCUUCGGGGGAAAGAUUUAUCGCCAUUAGAGCGGCCCGCGUCUGAUUAGCUAGUUGGUGAGGUAACGGCUCACCAAGGCGACGAUCAGUAGCUGGUCUGAGAGAAUGACCAGCCACACUGGGACUGAGACACGGCCCAGACUCCUACGGGAAGCAGCAGUGGGGAAUCUUGCGCAAUGGGCGAAAGCCUGACGCAGCCAUGCCGCGUGAAUGAUGAAGGUCUUAGGAUUGUAAAAUUCUUUCACCGGGGACGAUAAUGACGGUACCCGGAGAAGAAGCCCCGGCUAACUUCGUG
rnacentral:rRNA from 1 species